rnacentral:rRNA from 1 species
AUUGAACGCUGGCGGUAUGCUUAACACAUGCAAGUCGAACGGUAACAGGAGAGAGCUUGCUCUCUUGCUGACGAGUGGCGAACGGGUGAGUAAUGCAUAGGAAUCUGCCUUAGAGUGGGGGAUAACUCGGGGAAACUCGAGCUAAUACCGCAUACGUCCUACGGGGUAAAGAGGGCCUCUACUUGUAAGCUCUCGCUUUAAGAUGAGCCUAUGUCGGAUUAGCUUGUUGGUGGGGUAAAGGCCUACCAAGGCAACGAUCCGUAGCUGGUCUGAGAGGAUGAUCAGCCACACUGGGACUGAGACACGGCCCAGACUCCUACGGGAGGCAGCAGUGGGGAAUAUUGGACAAUGGGCGCAAGCCUGAUCCAGCAAUACCGCGUGUGUGAAGAAGGCCUUCGGGUUGUAAAGCACUUUCAGUAGGGAGGAAAGGCCUAAGGUUAAUACCCUUAGGAGUUGACGUUACCUACAGAAGAAGCACCGGCUAACUCUGUG